rnacentral:rRNA from 1 species
UACAGAGGUCUCAAGCGUUGUUCGGAUUCAUUGGGCGUAAGGGUGCGUAGGCGGCGCGGUAAGUCGGGUGUGAAAUCUCGGAGCUUAACUCCGAAACUGCAUUCGAUACUGCCGUGCUUGAGGACUGGAGAGGAGACUGGAAUUUACGGUGUAGCGGUGAAAUGCGUAGAUAUCGUAAGGAAGACCAGUGGCGAAGGCGGGUCUCUGGACAGUUCCUGACGCUGAGGCACGAAGGUCAGGGGAGCAAACGGG